rnacentral:rRNA from 1 species
AGUCACGCUGUAAACGAUGUCGAUUUGGAGUUUGGGGGCAUGACCCUUGGGCUCCGGAGCUAACGCGUUAAAUCGACCGCUGGGGAGUACGGCCGCAAGGUUAAAACUCAAAUGAAUUGACGGGGGCCCGCACAAGCGGUGGAGCAUGUGGUUUAAUUCGAUGCAACGCGAAGAACCUUACCUGGUCUUGACAUCCAUAGAAUCUUUCAGAGAUGAGAGAGUGCCUUCGGGAGCUAUGAGACAGGUGCUGCAUGGCUGUCGUCGGCUCGUGUUGUGAAAUGUUGGGUUAAGUCCCGCAACGAGCGCAACCCCUAUCCUUUGUUGCCAGCACGUAAUGGUGGGAACUCAAAGGAGACUGCCGUUGAUAAAGCGGAGGAAGGUGGGGACGACGUCAAGUCAUCAUGGCCCUUACGACCAGGGCUACACACGUGCUACAAUGGCGUAUACAAAGGGAUGCGAAGGUGCGAACUGGAGCGGACCUCACAAAGUACGUCUAAGUCCGGAUUGGAGUCUGCAACUCGACUCCAUGAAGUCGGAAUCGCUAGUAAUCGUGAAUCAGAAUGUCACGGUGAAUACGUUCCCGGGCCUUGUACACACCGCCCGUCACACCAUGGGAGUGGGUUGCACCAGAAGUAGAUAGCUUAACCUUCGGGAGGGCGUUUACCACGGUGUGGUUCAUGACUGGGGUGAAGUCGUAACAAGGUAACCA